rnacentral:rRNA from 1 species
UAGUCUCGCACAGAUGCAUAUCAAUAAGCGGAGGAAAAGAAACUAACAAGGAUUCCCCUUAGUAACGGCGAGUGAAGCGGGAAGAGCUCAAAUUUGAAAUCUUCAAGGUUUUACCUUGACGAAUUGUAGUUUAAAGAAGUGUUUUCUGUUGAAGGUUUUGGUAAAAGUUCUUUGGAAUAGGACAUCAUAGAGGGUGAGAAUCCCGUAUUUGACCAUUAUUUUCAGCUGUGUGAUACACUUUCAAAGAGUCGGAUUGUUUGGGAAUGCAGUCCAAAAUGGGUGGUAAAUUUCAUCUAAAGCUAAAUAUUGGCGAGAGACCGAUAGCGAACAAGUACCGUGAGGGAAAGAUGAAAAGAACUUUGAAAAGAGAGUUAAACAGUACGUGAAAUUGUCAAAAGGGAAGCGUUUGACACCAGCGUUGUUUUCUCGAAAAUCAAUUAAAAAGAGUUUGAUUUUGUUGUGUAUUGACCUUAACAGCUUGCAUUUCAAUUUUCUUGCUUUUUUUAAUGCACUUUUCGUUUAACAAGUCAACAUCAGUUUCUUUUGUUGUAAAAAGGUCAUUGGAAGGUGGCUUUCUUUUCGGAGAAAGUGUUUAUAGCCUUUGACUCCUGCAAUCGGAGAGACUGAGGUCUGCAGCGUAGAUCCUUCGGGGUUAGAUACAUUUGUGCUAAGUUAUAGCUUUUUAUAGACAACUUGUUGACUAUGAUUAGUCUUGUAGCUUACUCGCUUAUGCUAUUUUACCUACGCUUAGGAUGUUGAGCGCAUGUCUCUCUCU